UUGUUUGGCCGAUAAUUGAAUAUCGUUCUGCGAACCAGAACCAUGGUUUCUGUGUCGAAUUCAGUGUUGUUUCCUCUGGCGACAUCCAACGGCUUCACAUCCGAUGGUUUUUCUCGGUCCGUUAGAUUUGCAAGGACGAUCAAUUGUAGCAGUGACAAGCAAAAGGGAGAGCAAAGAAACGUUUUGUGUGCUUGUAUGGAGCCUCCCCCCAAACUGCGGAGCGAUGAAUCCUUUGCAGCUAAAUUCGAGGGUCUUUCUGAUCAGGAUUCAUUUAAAUCAGAGGAUUUGAGUACAGUUUGGGAGCCCAAGGAUGACUCUGAUGUUCUAAUCGAGUGUAGAGACGUCUACAAAUCGUUUGGUGAGAAGCAUAUAUUGAGAGGUGUGAGCUUCAAGAUUAGGCAUGGCGAAGCUGUUGGAAUAAUUGGGCCUUCUGGCACGGGAAAAUCUACAGUUCUGAAGAUUAUGGCAGGGCUUCUUGCUCCUGACAAGGGAGAGGUGUACAUUCGAGGUCGAAAGAGAGUUGGUUUGAUCAGCGAUGAUGAGAUAUCUGGUCUUCGGAUUGGAUUGGUGUUUCAGAGCGCUGCACUAUUUGAUUCUUUGACUGUUCGUGAAAAUGUUGGUUUCCUUCUGUAUGAAAAUUCGAGCAUGCCCGAGGAUCAAAUUUCAAAGCUUGUGACUGAGAGCUUGGCCGCAGUCGGGUUAAAGGGAGUUGAGGAUCGAUUACCUUCGGAGCUAUCUGGUGGAAUGAAGAAACGAGUUGCUCUGGCUCGAUCCAUAAUUUAUGAUACCACAAAGGAGGCGAUAGAGCCAGAGGUGCUCUUAUAUGAUGAGCCAACAGCUGGACUUGAUCCUAUUGCUUCUACUGUGGUAGAAGACCUCAUCCGCUCUGUCCAUACAAAAGGUCGCGAUGCAAUCAAGAAACCUGGGCAGAUCGCAUCUUAUGUUGUUGUUACUCACCAACAUAGUACCAUCGGACGAGCUGUUGACAGAGUAUAUACAAAUUCAACAUGUAUAGGCUGUUGUUUCUCUACGAGGGCAAGAUAGUGUGGCAAGGAAUGACUCAUGAAUUCACAACCUCAACAAAUCCAAUCGUUCAACAGUUUGCUUCCGGGAGCUUGGACGGCCCGAUUAAAUAUUAGAACUCGUUCUCGGUGUGCAUAUUACACGUCGCGUAGCCCUUGAGGAGAAUGCUGGGAAAUGGAUCAGAUGGGUGCUCUGCCUCCUUUCUUAUACUUCUUUGCAGUGGAUUGGAGCUCCUGCCAACAAUUCUCAGUGGCCAACAAAAAUCACAUGCCAACGAAUCUUUAGGCGUGCAUCUGAGUUAAGAGAGCCAACUUCUGAAUUGGGCAUGGCAAAAAGAUGUCGCGAUUGGGCGGGGAUGUUUUGCUCGUUCUUAUUUACGACGAAUAACUUUCUUACUCUGUUAGUUUCGAAUUUUUGAGUUCCGGCACCUGUUUUCGGCCACAUUGUUAGAGAAAAUGUAUUCAAAACUGAGGAAUAUAUAGUUGAUGUUAUGGCAUAUUAUUAUGAGCA